GUGUCGGUAUUAUACAGUUUGUCCAAUGACGUAUUGGAUGGUCAUGAUUAUAUUGAGCUUAGUGUUACACUAACAAAAGUGAAGGACAGGACGUGGACAUACGUAGCGCAAACUACCAACUGUUUAAUACGGUUAAAGAACGCGCUUAUAUAAAAGGAGAUAUGGCGCGGGGGAAGAUAUAAAAAGAUAUGACAAGGUAACGGCAUGUGAUAAUACUUUGGGCCAGGCAUACAUUGUUCACUUGCACCCGCUCGCCCUGGCAAACUCGACCUCGGCUUCGAUAAGCGCGGUGAACAGAGUACUUACGCACAUCUCUUUUUCUUUUACUAUUGCAAAUCCCUCCCAUAUUUCUGGCUGCGUUUUUAUUUUAUAUGUGCCAAUGACUGUGGUGCUUUCUAGUAGCGGAGAGCACUUGCCUUGUUUGCAGUGUGCAGCCAAGUUGCUAGGUGCUGUCAGAAGCUGGCACGGAGCGAGAGGAAGAGGUCAGGAAAGUUGGCACCUAAGUACAGGGUAAUUGAAAGUGUAAAUAGAAAUGUAGAAACCAUCAAGACAGAAAGAAAAAAAAGAACAGAGAGUAAAUUGGA